GCCGGUGUAGCUCAAAUGGUAGAGCAACGCUCUUGUAAAGCGUUGGUUGCGGGUUCGACUCCCGCCACCGGCU
rnacentral:tRNA from 1 species